rnacentral:misc_RNA from 1 species
AACGCACAUUGCGCCUCUCGGUAUUCCGGGAGGCACGCCUGUUCGAGCGCCAUUACGAACCCCAAGCCGUGCUUGAUGUUGGACGAAGCCCCGCGGCCGUGAGAGGCGUGCGGGGGCUCGUCUGGAACGCGUUGGCGCCGCCGCCGGACCACGAGCGUAGCAAGACGAGAGUCGACCGCUGUGUUGGGCACCGGAGGGACGGCCAGCCGGCUCUUCUUUCGAGGGAUCGAGCGAUCGAGACGUCGAGGAACACGAGAGUUUGGCCUCGGAUCAGGCGGGGAUACCCGCUGAACUUAA